GCCGGGAGCUAGCUCUCUGCAACUCUCACAUGGUCACCCACUGAAGCUAAGCAGGGCUGAGCCUGGUCACUACCUAGAUGGGAGACCACAUGGGAAAGCUAGGUUGCAGCUGGAA
rnacentral:rRNA from 1 species